rnacentral:snRNA from 1 species
GUCCUCGCUUCAGCAGAAUAUAUAUGAAUAUUGGAACGAUGCAGAAAAGAUUAGCAUGGCCCCGGCGCAAGGAUUACAUGCAAAUUCGUGAAGCAUUCCAUAUUAAA